rnacentral:rRNA from 1 species
UGGGGGAUAUUGCACAAUGGGCGAAAGCCUGAUGCAGCGACGCCGCGUGGGGGAUGAAGGCUUUCGGGUUGUAAACCUCUUUCGCUAUCGAACAAGGCCCGCUUAGGGUGGGUUGAGGGUAGGUGGAGAAGAAGCGCCGGCUAACUACGUGCCAGCAGCCGCGGUAAUACGUAGGGCGCGAGCGUUGUCCGGAAUUAUUGGGCGUAAAGGGCUUGUAGGCGGCUUGUUGCGCCUGCUGUGAAAACGCGGGGCUUAACUUCGCGCGUGCAGUGGGUACGGGCAGGCUUGAGUGUGGUAGGGGUGACUGGAAUUCCAGGUGUAGCUGUGGAAUGCGCAGAUAUCUGGAGGAACACCGAUGGCGAAGGCAGGUCACUGGGCCAUUACUGACGCUGAGGAGCGAAAGCAUGGGUAGCGAACAG